rnacentral:lncRNA from 1 species
GAUUUAAUUGUGGCAGGCUGUCUGUGUCUAUAAACACAUCCAUUUCUUCUCCUUUUCAAUGUAUGGGAGUAUAGAUUUUCAAGAUAGCCCCUAAUGAUCCUCUGGAUUUCUGAUGUCUGUGGUGGUUUUUCAUUACUUUUUUUUAUUAAUUUGGUUUUUUAUUAAUUUGUGUCUUCUCUAUUUUGCUUUGCUCAGUUUGACUAAGGGUUUAUCAAACUUACUUACCUUUUCAAAGAACCAGCUCUUUGUGUCCUGAUCCUUUGCUGGUUGCUCAUUCUGGAUCUUUCUGGGUUUCUUAUGGAGACUUUCAUGGCCGUGACUUCCCUCUCAGAACUGCUCGCUGGGGUCCCAGAGGCCACCAGGUGUGUUGGACGUUGGUCUCAUUCUCUUCACCCAGUCACCGUUCUGAAGUGUACCAUUCAUCUCCAGUGUUUAGAGGAUCUCUGUAGUUUUUCAUGAUAAUAUCUCAUUUUUUCCAUUAUGACCUGAUAAGAUGCAAAGAAUCAUAUUGGGUUCUUUUUGUUUGUUUGUUUUUGCAUUUGCCAAGAGUGGCUUUGUGGCCUAACUGUGGUCUGUUUUGUAAAAGGUUCCAUGAGCAUCUGAGGGAAAAGUGCAUUCAGCUCCAGUUGGGUCAGAUAUUCUUUGGACGUUUAUUAAGUCCAUUUUGUUUUUAUUUUUAAGGAGCCGUCCCUGAGUUGGUGUCUGGGUGACCUAGGGGUUGGUGAGAGGUGUGUGGAGAUCGUCCACGGCUGUUGUCCUGGGGCCUGAGUCUCCCAGUUGACUGGUGUCUGUUGAUGUCAGGAGGCGAUAUAAACGAUUAUGGUUGUUGAAUCCUCUCGUUGGAUUGUUCCUUUAGGUCUUUGUCUUUUCUGGUUGACUUUGGGCUGAAGUCUGCGUGGUCAGGUGUGAGAGUAGCUACUCCUGCUUGGUUGGGGCUCCAUUCCCAUGGGAGAUCAGUUUCCACCCAUUCACUUUCAGCCUGUGGCUGUCUUUGCCAACAACAUACAGUUGGUCUGUUUUUUUGAAUCCGUUCUGCCAGCCUAGGUCUUUUUCUUUUUUUGGCUCUGGAGAUUUAAUCCAGGGUUAGUUUACCACUGAAUUGCACCCUAGCCCUUUCUAUUUUUUAUUUUGCAAUAGGGUCUUACUAAGUCACUUAGGGUCUCACUAAGUUAUUGAGGCUGUUUUUAAAUUUGCAAUCCUCCUGCCUCAGCCUCCCGAGUGUGCCACCACGCCUGGCUAACCUACGUCUUUAACUGGAGAGUGAAGAUGAUUUACAUUCAGGCUUAUCACAGGGAGAUGUUAUUAAUUCCUGCCGUUGUGACUGGUCUCUGGUGUUUACCUGUCCUGUUUCCCAUUCGCUGAGCUGUGCUUCAGACGAGGUCUGUCCUGGGAGCACUGGAGUCUGAGGCCCAUUUCUUCUGUGUGGCGAGUCCUCCCGGGGGUGCCAGCUGAGUCACCAUGGGUUCUUUUAGUUUCUGCUAAUCUUCAGGGACUUGAAGGGUGACUUGGCUGGAGACACAAAUCUUGCUUGACAGCUUCUCUUUCAGGACUCAGACCUUUCUACGUCCUCCUGGGUUCCUGCGUUGGUGCUGAACGGUCAGAAGGGUCUCUGAUCGUCCUGCCUUUAGAUGUGACCUGCACUCUUCUCCUGAGGCUUUUGAAGUCCUAUCCUUGUUUUUGUUUUGUUUUAUUUUAAUCAUAAUGAGUUUGGAAAAGCUCUUUUUUGAUCUUGUCUAUUUGGAGUUUGAAUGUGUCCUGUAUCUGGAGGUCCAUCUCAGCCUCAAGGUUUGGAAUUUUUUCUGUUAUUAUUUCCCUGAAGAGAUGAUUCAUUCUACAAC